rnacentral:rRNA from 1 species
GUUGUAUAGUCAAGUAAUUAAGUGCAUGUGGUGGAUGCCUUGGCAGUCAGAGGCGAUGAAAGACGUGAUAGCCUGCGAAAAGCUCCGGGGAGGCGGCAAAUAUCCUUUGAUCCGGAGAUUUCUGAAUGGGGGAACCCACCCGCUAUAAGGCGGGUAUCAUAAGCUGAAUACAUAGGCUUAUGAAGCGAACGAGGGGAAGUGAAACAUCUCAGUACCCUUAGGAAAAGAAAUCAAUUGAGAUUCCCUUAGUAGCGGCGAGCGAACGGGGAGCAGCCCAUUAAGUUAUGUGUGUUCUAGUGGAACGCUCUGGGAAGUGCGAACGUAGAGGGUGAUAUUCCCGUACACGAAAGGGCACACAUAAUGAUGACGAGUAGGGCGAGGCACGUGAAACCUUGUCUGAAUAUGGGGGGACCAUCCUCCAAGGCUAAAUACUCCUGACUGACCGAUAGUGAACCAGUACCGUGAGGGAAAGGCGAAAAGAACCCCUGUGAGGGGAGUGAAAUAGAUCCUGAAACCGCAUGCAUACAAGCAGUGGGAGCCGACUUGUUCGGUGACUGCGUACCUUUUGUAUAAUGGGUCAGCGACUUACAUUCAGUAGCAAGGUUAACCGCAUAGGGGAGCCGUAGAGAAAUCGAGUCUUAAUAGGGCGUUUAGUUGCUGGGUGUAGACCCGAAACCAGGCGAUCUAUCCAUGAGCAGGUUGAAGGUUGGGUAACACUAACUGGAGGACCGAACCCACUGUCGUUGAAAAGCCAGGGGAUGACUUGUGGAUAGGGGUGAAAGGCUAAUCAAGCCUGGUGAUAGCUGGUUCUCCCCGAAAGCUAUUUAGGUAGCGCCUCGGACGAAUACCAUUGGGGGUAGAGCACUGUUUCGGCUAGGGGGUCAUCCCGACUUACCAAACCGAUGCAAACUCCGAAUACCAAUGAGUACUAUCCGGGAGACAGACUGCGGGUGCUAACGUCCGUAGUCAAGAGGAAAACAAUCCAGACCGCCAGCUAAGGCCCCAAAAUCAUAGUUAAGUGGGAAACGAUGUGGGAAGGCAUAGACAGCUAGGAGGUUGGCUUAGAAGCAGCCACCCUUUAAAGAAAGCGUAAUAGCUCACUAGUCGAGUCGGCCUGCGCGGAAGAUGUAACGGGGCUAAAACUAUGUGCCGAAGCUGCGGAUUUACGCAUUAGCGUAAGUGGUAGGGGAGCGUUCUGUAAGCCGAUGAAGGUGUAUUGAGAAGUAUGCUGGAGGUAUCAGAAGUGCGAAUGCUGACGUGAGUAACGACAAAACGGGUGAAAAACCCGUUCGCUGAAAGACCAAGGGUUCCAGUCCAACGUUAAUCGGGGCUGGGUGAGUCGACCCCUAAGGCGAGGCCGAGAGGCGUAGUCGAUGGGAAAUUGGUUAAUAUUCCAAUACUUCUGUGUAAUGCGAUGAGAGGACGGAGAAGGUUAAGUCAGCCUGGCGUUGGUUGUCCAGGUGGAAGGCUGUAGGCAUGCAUCUUAGGCAAAUCCGGGGUGCUCUAUGCUGAGAGCUGAUAGCAAGCUGUACUUGUACAGUGAAGUGGCUGAUACCAUGCUUCCAGGAAAAGUCUCUAAGCUUCAGUUACACAGGAAUCGUACCCGAAACCGACACAGGUGGUCAGGUCGAGUAGACCAAAGCGCUUGAGAGAACUCUGCUGAAGGAACUAGGCAAAAUGGUACCGUAACUUCGGGAGAAGGUACGCUGCUGACGGUGAUUCCCCUCGCGGGAUGAGCUAUUGGCAGCCACAGAAACCAGGCCGCUGCAACUGUUUAUUAAAAACAUAGCACUCUGCAAACACGAAAGUGGACGUAUAGGGUGUGAUGCCUGCCCGGUGCUGGAAGGUUAAUUGAUGGGGUUAGCGUAAGCGAAGCUCUUGAUCGAAGCCCCAGUAAACGGCGG